AGGCCCCGGAGAUGCAGGCAGGAAACAGAAACAGCUCAGGGCAAAGCUGACUAGGCACAGAGAGUGCCCUGCCAGGCUAUGAAAGGCUGUGAGUGAUGAGGGCAAAGUGGUGCCACCGUGUUGGCCUCUGUUCCCGUUCGGGGAAGGCCACGUCGGACAGGCCAUCACAUUCUUGUCUCCAGCAAGCUGGGACCACCCCAGGCCAAAGACUCACUGACACGCUCACUGUACCCAACAAAAACAGAAUGUGUCUUUGGCCCAAGACAGACGGAGCAGAGAAGAAUAGCAUCCCCAGCACCAUCUUUGAAUUUCUGCCGGAAAUGCCACACAUGAGCUUCCAAACACACGCCUCGCGCCUGGCUGGUGUCUAAGGAAAACAGAUGUUUUUCAACUGGGAAAUGAGUAACAUGGAAACUACUGGACACUUUCUAGACUGAAUCCUGCGCAUCAUCAUCACUGAAAAGAUUCUUCAGUCAAGACACCAGUAAACAUGAUCUUCUAAAUGACCAGUGUGACAAAUACCAUGAUUCAAUUAUUAUAAACUUCUUCCCGGGGGUUAGAAAUGAUCCCUGACGUGCUUCCUGGCCAGUUGAGACUUGGCCAAAGAGUUUAUCACGUUCUUCCUUCCAGCGUCAGGAAACGCCCACUCUGGCUCUGAGUCACUGUGAUCACCAUCAGGGGCAGCCCCUCAGCUUCCACUGCUCCUUCCAUGAACUCACUGGGUGGGGGAGACCCUGGCCACAAGUCAGGGAUCUGAUCCCCCCACCCCCCACCCGCCACUGGCUGCUUACUAGGGAGGUGACCUGGCGAGAGGCAGGGAGGAGGGAGGUCAUGCAGAGAAAACCCAAAAGAAGGGCAACAGGGAGCCACAGAUCACUGGCCUUGAAAGACACAUAACUAUGUCGGCCAGCCUGGAAAUAACAGGAGCGGCAGUGAGGAGACGGAGGCCUGCAGGCCCCGGGAGAGGCCCUCCGCCUCCUUCAGAGGAAGACACGGAAGAAGGGUUGGAGGAACCAGCGCUAAGAUGCCUGCGAAGCUUUAAGCACAUGCCAGCUGCGACCCAACCAAGACAGCGGCCCCGCAGCAGCCGUGCCCAGACGCGCGCCGGGAUGGCGGAUUUCCACAAAACCCAUUCCAGUGACCUUUUAAUCAAACAGUGUCACCCUAAACGUGUCAGGCUAAUAAAGCGGGAAGUGCCGUGGAAGAGGCUGCUUGCAAGCGUAGCCCUGCCUCCCUAUACCACCGCAGAGGGGAUCCGUCGGCAAGCAGCGGGGUGGGCCGCGUGGCGCUCCAACAGACCCAGACAACCGGCGGGCGGGUCCGUCCAGACAAGUAUCCGGGCGCAGGAGUAAAUCCUGGGGGACUGGAGCGCUUCCAUCUACACAUACUGAGUGUGCAAGGGCGGCUCCGCCCAGCUCGAUGCACCCCACAGCCGGGUCACACAGCAGCAAGGUCCUCGGCACUGAAGAUCAAAGUCUGGCUCCCAACCUGCACAGCACGUGUUUCUCUCUCGCCAGGACGGCUGAGGGUCUCUGGAUUUAUGUUCUGACUGUGCUCAUCUUCCAGGAAGUCUGGGAAAAGGCCACGCAGGCAUCGGCCCACGUGGGGGGGUUUUCCUAUGAUAACUAUAGGCUGCAAGAGUUGUGUUUUUUUAGCAGAACAAAAGCAAAAGUCAUACCUAUUAAGAGUGGGUGGGUUUUUGGUUUAAAAUGAGCAACAGAGCAUAGAGAAUUUUCUACUGAUCACCAAAACGGAGGCGCGAUGCCUACUAUUGGGUUGUUGGAAAAGUCAUGAUACAUCGUUGUUUGAAAAACAGAAAAAAUACGUCAUGACUUUUGUGACAACCCAGUAUUUUUGAUCUAUCAGUGCAGGCAUGCAGUCAACUGUCUGGGUGCCAAUCAUGGCCCUCCACUUAGCCAACUGCUGGCCAAGGUGAGUCACUUUCCGGAGGCUCGACUCUCUUCUGCCGCUCCACACGCCUUGGCUCCUCGAGAAGCUGUGAGGACUCACUGACCAAAGCAGCCGGGCUCCCACAGAGCUACGGGAGGGCUGAGCCGGGGGGGGGCAGACACUGAGCCUAUGGGUCUUGCUUCUGAUGAAAAAACCUCAGAAGAGAUGGGCCAGCAGAGAACUGCCAGUUUCUGGGCAGUCGGACAGGGGUGUGCAUGGGGCUGGACCGUAGGAGAGCCGAGCUCCUGAAACAAACAGGGCGGCUGUGAUGUGCAAGUCCCUUACUCCCGAGAUGCUGUGCUGAUGACGCAAGCUUUCCAAAUUCUGCUGUGAAGAACAAGCCAAGCAACCCAAGUGGGGAUCAGCAGCGGCCAGCUGGGAAGGCCCAAGAAGGAGUGUUGAGAGGCACGUCUAGCCGAGGAAAACCCAGAGUGGGAAGCAGCCUUCCUCGGGACAGGAAAGACGAACUGGAAUGGGGCCUCGUGCAGUGUUUCUUCUUCAUCCACAACACUCAGAGGCUGCCCUGCCAUCAAGUACUUGUGUGAGGGCCAAGAAGAGCUGACAGUUGUUCUAGUCAGCCCAGGGGCCUUUCCAGAAAACUCCCGUGAGGCUGAUGAUUACGUUACGUUCAUGUAUCUAUCUUUAUGCUUUCUCUAAACCAGAUGUCACCAAAGAGCAGAACUGUCUCAAACGCCCGGGCCUGCCGCAGGGGACUACAUGGGCGUUUGAUGAGUAUGGGGUGUGCUGAUGGCCACUGAGCACAGUGCCCACAGGGCGGCUGUCCUUGGCUUUGAGGUCAUCACAUCUGCCCAGCACGCGAGCUCUGGGACAGCAGGCAAGAGCUCCACGGGCAGUCUGCUCUGCUCGGCGCUGUGUCUGGGACACUGCCUGGCGUGAUAAACCAGUGACGGCACCAUGAGCCAAAGGCACUAAGACUCCCAGGGAACCAGGUGUCUUUCUCAUUCACUUAAUUCAAUUAAUCUAUACUCACAUCCAGUGAGGUACCUGCCACCAUCUCUUUUUUCCAGAUAAGGAAAGCGAGGCACAGAGGGUCAGCGGCGGGGCCUGGAUUAGAACGUGGCCGCCUGAUGUGGUCCCCGCACUGAUGACUCUUAAACAGAUCUGCACUGAAACAACAGGAGGAGACCCAAACUAAGCCCCAGAAUGUGGCAGGAUUUGAGCUCACCUUCAUGUGUAAGUCCCUGCAAAGUGUGAGGCUGCUGGGGAGCCACUGUCCCCCCUCCCCUGCUCGGCCUUUCCAGGCUGCAGACCAGAAUCUGUCAGUAAAAGGACUCUCGGGGAGGCCCCACCAGAAGUGGAGAACAUGGGAGCUGUGCCCUCAACAGGUUCCCUUGGAAAUCGGGUCAGAGCUCUGACAGCCCACGGCCGUUCUCCAGCCACGCUCCCGGCUUCCGACGCAGGGCCGACUCUGCCUCUUCCCCUCUCCUCAGACGACUGCCCUUGACCUGCCCUUCUUCCACCCAGGCCCCACAGGCUGCGUGUGAGUGUGCAGAUUUGUGCACACACACCCUUCCACCCACUUGGUGCCGUCUGGUGUCUCACACCCAAGGAGCAGAGGAAGAGAGACCAGAAUCUGCCAGUAUAGAGCCGUCAUUUUUUUUUUUCACAAUGGUAAAAAUGUAUAAAAAGUUCUGAAAGUCAAAAGCUUUCUCAUCAAUG